GCUAAUCCCUUUUGGACACUGUGGGGUCCCUCCUCCUCAGAACCACUCGUGCUCGUAACCUCUGUGGUCUCUGAGGGCAGAACAUCCACCUGCAGGGCUUUUAGGAUCAUCCUUUUUUUCUGAGACACGCAGCGACUCGCUGCCAGCAGAGUGUGCGGAGCCCUCCCCUCAGCCCAGCUUUCAAGCCUCGUUGGAUCCAUACGCUUCGAGUGAUCAGGGUGAUUUUUCUCCUGGUUUCUGCACAGGUCUGACUUGUAGCUGUCUUGUCCACGCAAUGAUGGCCAUAUGCUCUUGGGUGCCAGCAGCAGAAAGAGGGAAAAGACUUAUGUUCUUCAGGGAACUGUGUCCGUCGUUAGCACAGCUGCCACCGUAACAGUACAGGGCUGAUUCUGCCUCUUCUGUCAGUUGUACUUACAUUUUUGUGUGCUUUUCUGCUGAUAAAAUUCCACUGACGUCACCCAUAGCAAACCUUCAUGCUUGAUAAAUGUGUGAACAAGAAAGGAAUAAGGCUCACACUAAACAAACAAAUGUCAAUCAUAAAGGAAUAAGCAGGGUUUUCAGCCUGCUCAGAGAAAAGACCUGAAGGACAGGAGUAGGACCUCCCAGGCUUGGCCUGAAAUGGAUCUGAAUUGAUAUUUUCAGGAGUGCUCAUCUACAGCAGGUUCUCCUUUCAAUAGGAUGAAAGAAAGAAAAAAAUAACUCUCUGGGGGUUUUCUUUACAUUGCAUACCUGAAACCUGAAUAAAAAGCUAGACAUUAAAA